CGGUUAAAUCACGCUGAAACACCGGUUCUCGUUCGAUCACCGAAGUUAAGCAUUGUGAGAGCCAGGUCAGUACUUAGAUCUCAAACCGCUUGGGAACACCUGGUACUGUA
rnacentral:rRNA from 1 species